UGACCAGCGGAAGGGAUCAUUACCGAGUUUACAACUCCCAAACCCCUGUGAACAUACCACUUGNUUGCCUCGGCGGAUCAGCCCGCUCCCGGUAAAACGGGACGGCCCGCCAGAGGACCCCUAAACUCUGUUUCUAUAUGUAACUUCUGAGUAAAACCAUAAAUAAAUCAAAACUUUCAACAACGGAUCUCUUGGUUCUGGCAUCGAUGAAGAACGCAGCAAAAUGCGAUAAGUAAUGUGAAUUGCAGAAUUCAGUGAAUCAUCGAAUCUUUGAACGCACAUUGCGCCCGCCAGUAUUCUGGCGGGCAUGCCUGUUCGAGCGUCAUUUCAACCCUCAAGCACAGCUUGGUGUUGGGACUCGCGUUAAUUCGCGUUCCUCAAAUUGAUUGGCGGUCACGUCGAGCUUCCAUAGCGUAGUAGUAAAGCCCUCGUUACUGGUAAUCGUCGCGGCCACGCCGUUAAACCCCAACUUCUGAAUGUUGACCUCGGAUCAGGUAGGAAUACCCGCUGAACUUAAGCAUAUCAAUAAGCGGAGGAA
rnacentral:rRNA from 1 species